AUUGAACGCUGGCGGCAUGCUUUACACAUGCAAGUCGAACGGUAACAGGCCUUCGGGUGCUGACGAGUGGCGAACGGGUGAGUAAUGCAUCGGAACGUACCCAGAGGUGGGGGAUAACGCAGCGAAAGCUAUGCUAAUACCGCAUGUGAUCUGAGGAUGAAAGCGGGGGACCGAGCAGCAAUGUUUGGCCUCGCGCCUUUGGAGCGGCCGAUGUCGGAUUAGCUAGUUGGUGGGGUAAAGGCCUACCAAGGCGACGAUCCGUAGCUGGUCUGAGAGGACGACCAGCCACACUGGGACUUAGACACGGCCCAGACUCCUACGGGAGGCAGGAGUGGGGAAUGUUGGACAAUGGGCGCAAGCCUGAUCCAGUAAUGCCGCGUGCGGGAAGAAGGCCUUCGGGUUGUAAACCGCUUUUGGCAGGAACGAAACGGUGUCCGCUAAUACCGGGCGCUAAUGACGGUACCUGCAGAAUAAGCACCGGCUAACUACGUG
rnacentral:rRNA from 1 species